AGGCUGCAACUCGCCUGCAUGAAGUUGGAAUUGCUAGUAGUCGCGAAUCAGAAUGUCGCGGUGAAUACGUUCCCGGGCCUUGUACACACCGCCCGUCACACCAUGAGAGUCGAUAACACCCGAAGCCUGUGAGCUAACCUUUUAGGAGGCAGCAGUCGAAGGUGGGGUUGAUGAUUGGGGUGAAGUCGUAACAAGGUAGC
rnacentral:rRNA from 1 species